GACGUAGGGUGCGAGCGUUGUCCGGAUUUAUUGGGCGUAAAGAGCUCGUAGGCGGCUUGUCGCGUCGGAUGUGAAAGCCCGGGGCUUAACUCCGGGUCUGCAUUCGAUACGGGCAGGCUAGAGUUCGGUAGGGGAGAUCGGAAUUCCUGGUGUAGCGGUGAAAUGCGCAGAUAUCAGGAGGAACACCGGUGGCGAAGGCGGAUCUCUGGGCCGAUACUGACGCUGAGGAGCGAAAGCGUGGGGAGCGAACAGG
rnacentral:rRNA from 1 species